CUGGGCUUAAGCGUGUGUAGGCGGAGUUCUAAGUACCUUGUGAAAUCCCACCGCUCACCGGUGGAACUGCUGGGUAUACUGGAUCUCUUGAGCCACUUAGGGGCUACCGGAACAAAUGGUGGAGCGGUGAAAUGCGUAGAUAUCAUUUGGAACGCCAAUGGUGAAAACAGGUAGCUGGGAGUGUGCUGACGCUGAGACACGAAAGCCAGGGGAGCGAACGGGAUUAGAUACCCCGGUAGUCCUGGCCCUAAACGAUGUCGACUAGAUCGUGGUAGCUCUGACGCUUUCACGGUCGAAGCAAAAGUGCUAAGUCGACCGCCUGGGAAGUACGGUCGCAAGGCUAAAACUCAAAGGAAUUGACGGGGGCUCACACAAGCGGUGGAGCAUGUGGUUCAAUUCGAAGCAACGCGCAGAACCUUACCUGGGCUUGACAUGCUAGGAUUAUCUCGAUGAAAGUCGAGUAGGCCCCGCAAGGGGUACAACUAGUACAGGUGCUGCAUGGCUGUCGUCAGCUCGUGUCGUGAGAUGUCGGGUUAAGUCCCUUAACGAGCGAAACCUUUGCCCUUAGUUACCAUCGGGUUAUGCCGGGGACUCUAAGGGGACUGCCGGUGUCAAACCGGAGGAAGGUGG
rnacentral:rRNA from 1 species